CCCCAGCUCGCUCUGGAUACUGGUAGACUAGAGUUAUAGAGAGAUUAGCGGAACUCCAUGUGAAGCGGUGGAAUGCGUAGAUAUAUGGAAGAACACCAAUAGCGAAGGCAGCUAAUUGGCUAUACACUGACGCUGAGGAACGAAAGCGUGGGGAGCAAACAGGAUUAGAUACCCUGGUAGUCCACGCCGUAAACGAUGAUCGUUAGCCGGUGGGCUCAGUUCACUGGCGCAGCUAACGCGUUAAACGAUCCGCCUGAGUAGUAUGCUCGCAAGAGUGAAACUUAAAGGAAUUGACGGGGACCCGCACAAGCGGUGGAGCAUGUGGUUUAAUUUGAAGAUACGCGGAGAACCUUACCCACUUUUGACAUCUUCUGCAAUGCUAUAGAGAUAUAGUGGAGGUUAACAGAAUGACAGAUGGUGCAUGGUUGUCGUCAGCUCGUGUCGUGAGAUGUUAGGUUAAGUCCUGCAACGAGCGCAACCCCUAUCAUUAGUUACUAAUAUUAAGUUAAGGACUCUAAUGAGACUGCCUGGGUAACCAGGAGGAAGGUGGGGACGACGUCAAAUCAUCAUGCCUCUUACAAGUGGGGCUACACACGUGCUACAAUGGGCAGUACAGAAUGAUGCAACAUGGCAACAUUUAGCAAAACACAAAAACUGCUCUCAGUUCGGAUUGGAGUCUGCAACUCGACUCCAUGAAGUUGGAAUCGCUAGUAAUCGUAGGUCAGCAAUACUACGGUGAAUACGUUCUCGGGUCUUGUACACACCGCCCGUCACACCACGGGAGCCGAUAAUGCCCGAAGCCGGUUGGUUAACUUCGGAUGCUGCUGUCUAAGGCAGGAUUGGUAACUGGGGUGAAGUCGUAACAAGGUAUCCCUACGAGAACGUGGGGCUGGAUCACCUCCUUUCU
rnacentral:rRNA from 1 species